rnacentral:rRNA from 1 species
GUCUAUAUGAAGUUAUAUAAAGUCUGGCCUGCCCGUUGAAGAAAUUUGAAAGGCCGCGGUAUAUUAACUGUGCAAAGGUAGCAUAAUCAUUAGCUUUUUAAUUGAAGGCUUGUAUGAAGGGUCUGACAAAGAAAAAGCUGUCUUUAAUUUUAUUUUUGAAUUUAACUUUUAAGUGAAAAGGCUUAGUUGAGUUUAAGGGACGAUAAGACCCUAUAAAUCUUUAUAUUAAAUUAUUAUCUUGGAUUUUAAUUAUUUUGUCUAGAUUUUUAAGUAAAAUAAUAAAUAUUUUGUUGGGGUGACAAGAAUAUAAGAAUAACUGUUCAUAAUUAAAACAAAGUUGUUUGAAUAAAAGUUAUAGAUCCUUUUUAUAGAUUAAGAGAUUAAGUUACUUUAGGGAUAACAGCGUUAUUUUUUUUGAGAGUUCUUAUCGAAAAAAAAGUUUGCGACCUCGAUGUUGAAUUAAAAUUUCUCUAUGGUGUAGAAGCUGUAGAAGAAAGUCUGUUCGACUUUU